UGAGGCUGCCAGCAGCACGCCACAGCCACAGCCGUUGCCUGUGGUCUGACAAUCCUGGCCUUUUCCAGCACAGAUCAGCCUCUCCUUCCCCACGGCCCCAUCCCUGCCACCGGCUCCGGCCACUUACUCAGCAGUGGCCUUUUGCUGCUGGGUCCUUGAAACGAGCAGCUCUCACCUACGUCAGUUACAGACACAGGAAUUUCAGAAGGUGUUUUUGUGCUAAAUAUACUUGAGCCUGCGCAUCCAGUUACGUUAAUGCACGAAAAACAAAACUGGAACUACCUUUGCUGCUUUGCUCUGAAGGACAGAAACACUCAAGCAAGCACACUGGGCCUCCUCUCCCCCACCAAAGCCUCUCUUACUAACUUUGGCAGAAAGCAAACUUCUCAAGUUGAAAACUGUCUGCCGCAGAGCGCAGCCUGUCAAGGCACCGCACGGGAACGAUGGCUGAAAGCGGCACCGUACCGUGUAACAGCGAAACAAGCGGCUACAGAGGAACAGCAAGAGCGAAUUAAAAGAUGAGCAUCGAAACUAAUGGCGCGAACGUGACGGAUACGCUCAGGACAGAGCUAUACAUCACGCGGCAUAGCGAGAUGAUUUGCCGCUUUUGUCCAAGAUGGAAGCAAUUUACAGCCUGAAUGAUCGUGCAGAUUCCUGGCUCACAAUAUCGUUGGCCUGUGAGCUUCACACAAUUAUUAGUAUUAGAAAAACUAUCUGCUGUAACCUUAGCUCAACGGGAAGAAUGUUAUGGAAGCUGACGGCUAGAUGUGGUGGGAAGAUAAUUUUGAAAUAUUAGGAGACCAACAGAAUUUGGACACAAUAUCUCAGUUACACAGCCUAUCAGUCACACAGGACAGAAAUUGAAAAGUACACUAUUUGUCAUCGUAUCGUUGUGAUACGGACUCUUCGCAAAUAUAUCUCCUGGUUUGUUCCCACAAUGUGCUUGGUAAGGGAUGGUCUCUGGCAGUUUCCUUCUAUUCCUACUUUUGAAGGAUAAAAGGAAGUGAUUUCCAAAUACCAUUUUCAAAAAACAUCGUAGGUUUUUAAUUAAAAUACUCCUUUAGCGUGCCAGAGUAUGAAAUGGCUACAUCCUUUCAUAACCUUUAGACAAAUAAAUGAAGAAACAAAGGAUAUGAAAUGUAACAAAACUAAUUUCAUGGAGCAGGACAACUAUACUUUUGGAAGACCCUGCAGAUUCUUGAACAGGAGAUGAAGUACUGUUGCUAAUACCGACUGAAAGCUCUAGAGAAUGUCAGAUGAGAAACACACUGUAUUUUGGAGUAUCUGAUAAAAAGGAAAAAUUGUCGCUGUUCACAAUAAGAAAAUUUUUGCUUGGGAAUCUAAAUAAUCCAUUUUCUUAUUAUGUAUCCUGAUGUCAUUGUUGCAUAAUUUAUAUUUUUAAGUACCUGUCCUACCAUACUUUUUCAGACUUUAAUCUUGAAAAGAAAGAUGUGGGUAUAUACAGGUAAAGCAGAAUAAUAGUUUUUACAUUUAUUGUUCUUUACUGAAACAUUAUUGCACUUUCCAUCUUUUAAACAAUAAAAGUGCUUUGAUAAAGCUUGCUUGAGCCUAACAGCCC